rnacentral:tRNA from 1 species
UUUAAACUCCCCCUUAAUG